rnacentral:rRNA from 1 species
CGAACGGGUGAGUAACACGUGGGUAACCUGCCCAUCAGAAGGGGAUAACACUUGGAAACAGGUGCUAAUACCGUAUAACAAUCGAAACCGCAUGGUUUUGAUUUGAAAGGCGCUUUCGGGUGUCGCUGAUGGAUGGACCCGCGGUGCAUUAGCUAGUUGGUGAGGUAACGGCUCACCAAGGCCACGAUGCAUAGCCGACCUGAGAGGGUGAUCGGCCACAUUGGGACUGAGACACGGCCCAAACUCCUACGGGAGGCAGCAGUAGGGAAUCUUCGGCAAUGGACGAAAGUCUGACCGAGCAACGCCGCGUGAGUGAAGAAGGUUUUCGGAUCGUAAAACUCUGUUGUUAGAGAAGAACAAGGAUGAGAGUAACUGUUCAUCCCUUGACGGUAUCUAACCAGAAAGCCACGGCUAACUACGUGCCAGCAGCCGCGGUAAUACGUAGGUGGCAAGCGUUGUCCGGAUUUAU